GACGAACGCUGGCGGCGUGCUUAACACAUGCAAGUCGAACGGGAUUUAGUAAACGGAAGCCUCGGUGGAAGAUUACUAAUGAGAGUGGCGAACGGGUGAGUAACGCGUGGGCAACCUGCCUAUGACAGUGGGAUAGCCUCGGGAAACCGGGAUUAAUACCGCAUAAAAUCGUAGAAACACAUGUUUCAACGGUCAAAGAUUUAUCGGUCAUAGAUGGGCUCGCGUCUGAUUAGCUAGUUGGUGAGAUAACAGCCCACCAAGGCGACGAUCAGUAGCCGGUCUGAGAGGAUGAACGGCCACAUUGGAACUGAGACACGGUCCAAACUCCUACGGGAGGCAGCAGUAGGGAAUAUUGCACAAUGGGGGAAACCCUGAUGCAGCGACGCCGCGUGAACGAAGAAGGUAUUCGUAUCGUAAAGUUCUGUCCUAUGGGAAGAUAAUGACAGUACCAUAGAAGAAAGCUCCGGCUAAAUACGUG
rnacentral:rRNA from 1 species